rnacentral:rRNA from 1 species
UACAGAGGUCUCAAGCGUUGUUCGGAUUCAUUGGGCGUAAAGGGUGCGUAGGCGGCGCGGUAAGUCGGGUGUGAAAUCUCGGGGCUUAACUCCGAAACUGCAUUCGAUACUGCCGUGCUUGAGGACUGGAGAGGAGACUGGAAUUUACGGUGUAGCGGUGAAAUGCGUAGAUAUCGUAAGGAAGACCAGUGGCGAAGGCGGGUCUCUGGACAGUUCCUGACGCUGAGGCACGGAAGGCCCAGGGGGAGCAAAACGGG